rnacentral:rRNA from 1 species
GACGAACGCUGGCGGCGUGCUUAACACAUGCAAGUCGAACGGAAAGGCCCUGCUUUUGUGGGGUGCUCGAGUGGCGAACGGGUGAGUAACACGUGAGUAACCUGCCCUUGACUUUGGGAUAACUUCAGGAAACUGGGGCUAAUACCGGAUAGGAGCUCCUGCUGCAUGGUGGGGGUUGGAAAGUUUCGGCGGUUGGGGAUGGACUCGCGGCUUAUCAGCUUGUUGGUGGGGUAGUGGCUUACCAAGGCUUUGACGGGUAGCCGGCCUGAGAGGGUGACCGGCCACAUUGGGACUGAGAUACGGCCCAGAAUCCUACGGGAGGCAGCAGUGGGGAAUAUUGCACAAUGGGCGGAAGCCUGAUGCAGAAACGCAGCGUGCGGGAUAAUGGCCUUCGGGUUGUAAACAGCUUUCGCCUGUGACGAAGCGUGAGUGACGGUAAUGGGUAAAGAAGCACCGGCUAACUACGUG